rnacentral:tRNA from 1 species
GGUCGAAUGGUGUAGUUGGUUUAUCACGUAUCCUUAACACGGAUAAGGUCCUGGGUUCGAGUCCCAGUUUGAUCA